AUGUCAAGCAUCUUCGAGAAGUCUUACAACUCUUGCGCAAUGACCAAUGGCAGAUCAAAGCUUCCAAAUGCUUUUUCGCUCAACGAGAACUCUCCUAUCUGGGAUUUGUCAUCAGUGAACAAGGGGUUUCCACAGAACCUGAUAAAAUCAAGCAAGUGCAACAGUGGCCUCUUCCCAUCAAUGUCAAACAGCUAA
rnacentral:rRNA from 1 species